rnacentral:rRNA from 2 species
GUUGGUGAUUUGACGCCGGGGAUAUACCCGAUCCCAUUCCGAACUCGGAAGUUAAGUCCGGUAGUGCCGAUGAUAGUCCGCAAGGGCGAAAGUAGGCAGUCGCCAACA